rnacentral:rRNA from 1 species
UACGUAGGGAGCAAGCGUUGUCCGGAAUCAUUGGGCGUAAAGCGCGCGUAGGUGGCCCGGUAAGUCCGCUCUGAAAGUCACAGGCUCAACCUGUGAAAGCGGGUGGAUACUGCCGGGCUAGAGUCCGGAAGAGGCGAGUGGAAUUCCUGGUGUAGCGGUGAAAUGCGCAGAUAUCAGGAGGAACACCAAUUGCGAAGGCAGCUCGCUGGGACGUUACUGACGCUGAGACGCGAAAGCGUGGGGAGCAAACAGG